UGAAAUGAACUAUUAAAACUAAAAUCCCCAAAGUCUGAUCCUUGUGAAAUGUCCAUGAAUGCUGGAAUGUCAUCAAAUGCCAUGUUGAAAUCCUCGGCCAAAAUUUGAGCAUCGUCGAAUAAUGUAUUUUCUUGAGGUUGGAAAUUAAAGAAGUCGUCUAGGAACGGAAUGUCCAUUGAUAAAUAGUCAUUAGUAUAGUCGGGUACCAUACCUGUCUCCCCUUCACACUCUUGAACCACCUGAACCGGACCGUGACUUGAAUCAGUUUCAUUAACCGUUUGGUUCCGGUCCGGUAUGCCGACAGGGGCACUCGGUUCAGCAUCUUUGCCCACUUCCUGACACGGUUCGGACGCUGAUUGUUGAUCGGUGUCAUUUUCACUCGACUGGCUGGUCCUGUACCGGAGAACAGAAGUCGGAGAUAAAAGAUUUCGAGACUCAUCGCCGGACUCGUAGCCGGAAACUGAAGUAUCGAUCGUCUCCGGCAUAUCCUUGGUCGGAGGCGUUACGAAGUUAGUUAAAGCAUCCGGCCCGCGGAGUUUUAUAGCAGCGUUGUCAUAAACCAUAGCAGCCUCUUCCGCGGUGUCGUAAGUACCCAACCAGAGCCUGACUCUACGGCUGGGGUCUCUUUUCACUCACUCCGUCAAAAAAUUUCUUCUACACCCACCCCCACGAGCCGACAACCUUGCCACUUCUCAUAUGCCAGUUUCUUAUACAUAUUAACAAAUAUGAGCUUAAGGCAGAAAAUUACCCCUCUUGUAUCAUUUAUAGUCCAUCCUCACAAUUAAUGAAAACAACAAAUGAAGCAAUGUCGUUUGCCCAUGUAAAUUAAUAGAAGCCGUUCUCUCACAUUUUUCAACCUUAAAUACCACGGUCCAUAAUUGUUUUGAAACGUUGAAUUAUUGUCCUUCACGCUUUAUUUUCGGCACAACAUCCAUCAAUUUAAACGGUUCAAUGUCCAAUGCGUACCACGAAGAUUUAAAAGGAAAAAUUGAAGACAUUUCUUUAACUUAUUUCACACUACGAACUUCGAGUCAUCGACUCAGUCAACACGACAACCGCAAAUUGCUCCUACUCUUGUGGGACAAAAAGAAUGCCACUUUGCAUCUACAACAUCCAUCUAAAAUUUAAAAAUACUAAACAAAUUAAAUAAACAUUAUCUCGAAAAUACAAAUUUAUUUUAUUACCAGAAAGGCUAUAUAUAAACUAAAUAAAGAACUUUGCUAAAAUUCCAUUUACUAUUAUGGAAUGGAGAUACGAGACGCUGAAUAUACUAAAAAUAUUUAAUGGGAAAUACAAAUCAAGCCAGUGGACAAAAUUUGCCAUCAAGAUUGACAAACCGGCGAUGUUUAGCUCUGGAUUUUUGUUAUGUCAUAUUGCUAGAAGUGUGUCUGCACUAGCAAAGUCGGCCAUGUCAACGAAAUAGUCAUCAACUUCUAUUGAAUUGAGAUCUUGAAAUGAACUAUUAAAACUAAAAUCCCCAAAGUCUGAUCCUUGUGAAAUGUCCAUGAAUGCUGGAAUGUCAUCAAAUGCCAUGUUGAAAUCCUCGGCCAAAAUUUGAGCAUCGUCGAAUAAUGUAUUUUCUUGAGGUUGGAAAUUAAAGAAGUCGUCUAGGAACGGAAUGUCCAUUGAUAAAUAGUCAUUAGUAUAGUCGGGUACCAUACCUGUCUCCCCUUCACACUCUUGAACCACCUGAACCGGACCGUGACUUGAAUCAGUUUCAUUAACC
rnacentral:lncRNA from 1 species